CACAACCCCCGACCCUCAUUUCUUCCUCUGCCAAUGGGGACCUCAGCAAUCCUGCCCUAGGGCAUGAUGGAAAGGCAGCUCAAGUUCUGCUCUGUUCCUGUUCUGCCAUGUGCUCUCUCUAUGACGUGCUACCUUGCCACAAGCCCAAAAAGCAACGGCACCAACUGGUCAUGAACUGGAACCUCCAAAAUGUCCAGAGGCCUCACCUACCUGGUUCUCAGACAAGGCCCGGCUUUGAUUCACCAAUUUCCCUUGUGGUGGCCUCAA